rnacentral:lncRNA from 1 species
AGAGACUCUGACAAGAGUCAGGGAAGGAGUUGCUUUUCCAUUACCUCUGGCUGAGCAAAAGAAGUUCUUGCCCCCCUGAAGAUUUCUGCUGAUUUAAACUCACUUAGGGGAAAGUCAAACCAUUUCUCUGAAGUGAUUUUGUGACAAAAAGCCAACAGUUGAUAGGAAAAGGUCAUUAGGGAUUUCCCAUCUCUUCCCUCAACCCCUUUUUCCUUUUACCUUUCAUUACAAAAGACUGUUCUCUCAAAGUUUGUAAUAGGAGGGAGAAUUUCAAAGGCAAAGAAGAAAAUUUGACUCACCAGUCUGGUCAGGUCCAGUCCAUAAGUCAUUUAACCUUAGUGAAGGAAGGAGAAAGGUGCCCAUAAUGAAAGCAUGAAAGGACAACUGCUAGAAGGCCAUGUUGCUGCUGCCAAUGCAGCCUCCUGCUGUUAACUCCCUGGGUUGCCCCAGUCAUCCACUCCUAAUCUACCUGACUUCAUGAUCGUCCUGCUCCUCCUGCUCCUCUUGCUGAUUGCUGCUGCCAAGUCUUUAGAACACAUAAGCUGGAAGUCCUUGGAGCCACUCUCCAGGACAAGACCUGGAAAAUUACAGUUGAAACUCUGUAAUAUAAGUUUGAUGUUAAGAGAGUAUUAAAAAGAAAAAAAAAAUCCCAAAUUCUUGACUGGAAUUGGAAUGGAUUGCCUCAGGAUCAAGUUCCCAUAUCUUUCCUCCCCUGUCUAGCACCUUAAAAUGAGGCUUUAAAGCUUGGGAAAGCAUAUUUUACACAUUUAACUAAAUACAAUUCUCAUCAUAGCUCUUUUUUAAUAAUAUUUAUAUUCCAGUAUAUUGAUGAAAUAACUAAGACUCAAGGAAAAUAAGGGAAGCAAGAUUUGAAUUAUUGUCUUUCUCACUCCAAAUCUGCUUCUGUAGUCAUUAUGUAAUGCCAUCCACACAUUAAACAUCUAUGCCAGUGAGUAAAAAAUAAGGUAUUUGAAAACGAAGCUUACUAGUAUCCAGGCAUCAAUAAAAAGAAAAAUUCCAAAUGAUGGUAGCA